rnacentral:rRNA from 1 species
UACAGAGGUCUCAAGCGUUGUUCGGAUUCAUUGGGCGUAAAGGGUGCGUAGGCGGCGCGGUAAGUCGGGUGUGAAAUCAUCGGAGCUUUAACUACCGAAACUGCUUCGAUACUGCCGGUGCUUGAGGACUGGAGAGGAGACUAGGAAUUUACGGUGUAGCGGUGAAAUGCGUAGAGUAUCGAUGAAGGAAGACCAGUGGGCGAAGGCGGGUCUCUGGACAGUUCCAUGACGGUGGAGGCAACGGAAGGCCAGGGGAGCAAACGGG